rnacentral:rRNA from 1 species
UACGUAGGGGGCAAGCGUUAUCCGGAUUUACUGGGUGUAAAGGGAGCGCAGACGGUUUUGCAAGUCUGAUGUGAAAGGCUGGGGCUCAACCCCGGAACUGCAUUGGAAACUGCAUGACUUGAGUGCCGGAGGGGUAAGCGGAAUUCCUAGUGUAGCGGUGAAAUGCGUAGAUAUUAGGAGGAACACCAGUGGCGAAGGCGGCUUACUGGACGGCAACUGACGUUCAUGCUCGAAAGCGUGGGGAGCAAAC